GAUGAACGCUAGCGGCAGGCCUAAUACAUGCAAGUCGAACGGUGUCUUCGGACAUAGUGGCGCACGGGUGCGUAACACGUAUGCAACCUACCUUACAUUGGGGGAUAGCCUUUCGAAAGGGAGAUUAAUACCGCAUAAGACAGUAGCUGGGCAUCCAGCAGCUGUUAAAGAUUUAUCGAUGUAAGCUGGGCAUGCGUCCAAUUAGCUAGUUGGUGAGGUAACGGCUCACCAAGGCAAUGAUUGGUAGGGGAACUGAGAGGUCAAUCCCCCACACGGGCGCUGGGAUACGGGCCAGACUCCUACGGGAGGCAGCAGUAGGGAAUAUUGGGCAAUGGACGCAAGUCUGACCCAGCCAUGCCGCGUGCAGGAUGAAGGCGUUAUGCGUUGUAAACUGCUUUUAUACAGGAAGAAACGACUCUUGCGAGAGGCAUUGACGGUACUGUAUGAAUAAGCACCGGCUAACUCCGUGCCAGCAGCCGCCGUAAUAC
rnacentral:rRNA from 1 species